ACACCCUCAAGCUCCGCUUGGUGUUGGGCGUCUGUCCCGCCGUACGGCGCGGACUCGCCUCGAAAUCAUUGGCAGCCCCUCCAGCGGCUCUGAGCGCAGCAGAAUUGCGUCUCUGGCAGCGGGAGGCGGCGUCCACGAAGCACUUCUUCCA
rnacentral:misc_RNA from 1 species